GCUUAACACUAGCGUCAGCCAUUUUUUUCACGCUCAAAAAAAAGUCGUGGAAAACGAAGAAAAGUUUACGAAAACGGCGCUUAGCGACUCGAAAAAGUUCGUAGAGACCAACCAAAGCAUGCAAAACUGAAGUUCGUGAGUGUCCGCCGUGAGUGAAACAAAUAUCUGAAGAUGGAAACCGUCGUGGCUUUCAACAAUGAGCUCUCCGGACUCUAUGACAGCCGACCGCCCAUAUCCAAGGCCAAGAUGGCUGCAAUCACCAAGUCGGCGAUGCGCGCCAUCAAGUUCUACAAGCAUGUCGUGCAGAGCGUGGAGAAGUUCAUCCUCAAGUGCAAGCCGGAGUACAAGGUACCCGGCCUGUACGUCAUCGACUCGAUCGUCCGCCAGUCCCGCCACCAGUACGGCACCGAAAAGGACGUCUUCGCGCCACGCUUCCAGCGCAACCUUCCAGAGACCUUUGCCAAUCUCUUCCGCUGCGCCCCCGAGGACAAGAGUCGCAUCAUCCGAGUGCUGAACUUGUGGCAGAAGAACAACGUGUUCAAGUCGGAGGUCAUCCAGCCCAUCUUCGACCUGGCCGAUCCCAACCAUCCCAUUUACCACCAGAUGCCGCCGCUGAGUGCCAGUGGUGGGCCCGGAGGCAGCGUGGGUCCCGGCCCGAGCAGUAGCGGUGCCCUCAGCUUGGCUGACCUGUCGAGCGGACCGAACGGUCUCAACAGCUCCAGCAUGAGCAUGGAGCUCAGCUUAAAUAACGCCGCUGCGGAAGACAAGAUGGGCGGAGCCAUGCCCGACCUAUCGCAUGGCCACGAGAAAUACAGCAGUGGUAGUGGUAGCUCCAAGCGGUAUUAUGCGGAGCAGCACUACGCCAAACGUCAGUCGGUGGCCUCAUGCUCGUCCAAGUCGAGCAAGUCGCACCAUCACAAGCGGGAGUACGUCAAGGGCAGUCAUGAAAUCGAGUAUCAAGUGCGGGAGUUCAUCGAGGAAGAGGACGAGGGCAUGCAAAUGAUGAUGGCGGACGAUCACCACUGUAUGGGCGAUGACUCGCCGCCGACUUCAUCAAAACUGCUAGACAACAACAAUCUUAAGCAACUGCUAAACGAUCCAAAUGUGCUGCGGCAGCUACAGACCCUGCAGAACUUCCAGAAGUUUAAGCAGCAGGAGGAGAACCAAAAACACCGCUACCCCGACGACACACUCCAACAGCAUUUCCAAAACGUCUUAAAGAGUUCUGGUGGAAUGCCGCCGGGCAUGGGCAUGGGCAUGGGUAUGGGCAUGGGCAUGAACCUCAACGACGCCAUGGACCUCAACAAGGACGUGGAGUUCAUAUCGGAGCAGCAAUCCAUUGAGGUGAUCAACCUGGAUGGCGCUGAUUCGCGGAGUCCGACUCCGGAUCGAGAUCGCUACAAGCGCAGCCGCCGGAGCAGUCGCAGCCGAUCGAGGUCGCCACGCGGACGAGGAGCCGGCGGUGGAGGCGGAGCUACCGGCACGGAUCGUCGUCGUCGCAGUUCUCGAUCGAGGUCGCGAAGUCGAUCGCCACGUUCCAGCCGCCGGCGAGGAUCUCGCGACCGGGAACGCAGCAACCGGGACAAGGAGAGGGACCGUGAGCACGAGCGUGAGCGGCGGAAGAAGGGCCUGCCAGAUAUCAAGAAGGAGCACCUCAGCGUUUGCAGCACCACGCUGUGGGUGGGCCACCUCUCCAAGCUUGUCUACCAGGAGGAGCUGUCGGACACCUUUGGCGAGUAUGGUGACAUCGUGAGCAUCGACCAAAUCAUACCGCGCGGAUGCGCCUUUAUUGUAAUGAACCGGCGCCAGGAUGCGCACAAGGCCAUGCAGGCACUAAAGAACCACAAGCUCCAGGGACGCGCCAUCACCAUCUCGUGGGCGGCCGGCAAGGGCGUUAAAAGCAAAGAGUGGAAGGACUUCUGGGACUUGGACCUGGGCGUCACUUACAUCCCAUGGAACAAGCUGAGUCCCGACACCGACUUUGAUGCUUUGGAGGAGGGCGGCAUGUUUGACGAAGACACUAUGCCCGGUUGGAUGAACCAGAAGAUCAGCCAGGCCAAAAAUCAUGCAAAAGAACCACAAGUGGCCACAUCCGUCUCGGAGGUGCCCGGACCUGCGGUGGGGGUGCCUCCGCCGGGUCUCAUAUUUGGAAUUGAUACCACACAGCCGCCGCCAGUGGGACCAGUUGGUCCUCCACCCGGUCCGGGAGGACCUCCGCCGGGGCUAAUGGGCAUGGUGCGGGGUCAGUUCCCGAUGGCCCCGCCCAUGGCUCUCAACAUGCCGCCGCCCAUGAUGAUGCCGCCAACUAAUAUGCCGCCGCCAAUUAUGAUACCUACGACCAACAUGCCUCCACCGAUGAUGAUGCCCCCCAACAUGAUGCCUCCAGGCUUUCCAGGUAUGGGCGGACCUCCGCACCCUAUGGGCAUGCCUCCGGGAGCGCCUUAUCCUCCGCCAGGGGCAGUACCGCCGCCCAUCGCUGGCGGCGGACAGCCACCACUUGCCGGUGGCGGACCACCGCCCAUUUCUGGCGGCAUACCGCCUCCGAUUGCAGGCAACGUGCCGCCGCCAAGUAACAACAGCGGCAAUGUGAGCGACGAUCAAAUGGACAUCGAAAUGGACCUGGAGGACGCCCCGCCUCCACCGCCCAAUCAGCAGCAGCAGUCCAUGGACGCGGCAGUUGCGGCCGUGGCCAACGAAAUGUUUCAGCGGGAUAGAGAACGCGACAGGGAUCGUGAUCGAUCGCGUGGGCCAGGCGGUGGGUCACGUUGGGGAGGCCGAGAGGACGUGGCAGAAGCGGCUGAACGUUGGCGUGCAGAGAACGGUGGAGGGCCGGGAGGACCACCUGGGCAGGGCCAAGGACCCAACGCCGCCUUCAAUGAAGCGCGUGCGCGUCUUAACCUAAACCCAAUUGAACACGGAAUGCCAAGACCCGAAUUUAUGGGCAUGGAUUUUGAUAAUCGAGGCGGACCACGGGGAAUGGGACCUCGAAGCGGGAACCACAAUGGAGGACCAGGUGGACCCGGUGUGCCAGGAGGACCUGGUGGACCAGGCGGUCCCGGAGGCGACUUCUUCCCUCCCAACUUGAAUCACAACCGAUUCAAUCAGCCCACUAGCCUGAUGCAAAUGCGCAUCCCACCACCGGCGGUGUUCAAUCAGCGCAUGGGCGGACCAUCUGGCAAUGGUGGCAAUGGAGUCGGCCCCAUGUUCAUGCGGAACCAGGGUGGUGGCGGUCCAGGUGGUGGUGGUCCGGGCGGACGUCAGCAAGGACCAGGUUUCUUCAAUCCUCGAAAUCCCUUCAACGACAACCAACGCGGCGGCGGACGAGGAGGCGGCGGCCGUGGUAUGGGCGGUGGAGGAAGAGGAGGUCGUUGGAGCGACGAUGAAGACGACGGGGGAAACAACUUCAAGCGCCGUGGUGGUCCCGGUGGUCCUGGUGGACCUGGAGGGCCUGGCGGACCCGGAGGGCCCGGAGGUCCCGGUGGCAACCGUUUCAGAGGAGACCGCGAUAUGGGAGACGACCGUCGCGGAAACAAUCAGCGCGGAGGUCGUGGCCAACGUGACGGUCCGCGUGAUGGGCCACGAGAUGGCCCACGUGAUGGCCCUCGCGAUGCCCAGCGUGAUGGCCCAGAUCGUGAGCGUCAAAACUUUGGAAACCGACGCGGUUCGCGAGAUGAUAGCAGCCGUUUCUCAGUAAGUUCGUUGGAAGACGGCACCAAGCCAGCUACAGAAUCGGAGAGCAGGCCCAAGACAGUAGAGAAGACACAAGGACCGCCUGGAGCCACGGGGGCGGUUGACACCGAGGAGGACUGGGAUCGCGAGCUGCAGGACUACGAUGCCCGGACAGAGGCGAAGAAGCCAGAGUCAAGUGCUGCCCAGCCCCUGGAAAGUGUGGAGAGUGAGCCACCGGCGAAGACAGAGGAUUUCGCGAAGCCAGCUGAUGUAGUAACCGAUUCUUCGGAACCGAAGCCCCAAAAUGAUGCUUCACCCGCCUGCACGCCUCUUUAUGAUGAGAUACCAGCACCUGUUCGGGACACGAGAGAGGCAGACGACGAACCGGCAGCUGAGGCUCGGCCUUCUCCACCUCGAUCCCUUCCGGAACCAGAGGUGGUUAUUCACACAGAGGCUGCGCCCAAAGUAGAUUGGGCUCCAGCGCCGGCAGCUGAGCCCCAGGAGGAUGCCUCGACUGCAGAGGAUCCAAGUGAACCAGUUGCCGCUGCCGCUGAUCCAGAUGUGGCCGCUGCUGUGGCUGCUGCCGAUACUGCCGAUGAUGCAACUGAUGCAUAGGACGACCGACGGACGAACCAACCAAGGAACAAAUGGCCCUCUUGAGCAAAUUAAGGCGAAACUUGAGAUUACGGCGCAUUUGUGGACGAGAAUGGAACGGUUGCUUUUAAAUCGGUUACUUCACUAACAGGGGACUUCUUUAAAACUACACACACUUUGUAGUUCAGAUACACAAAUACCGAUAAACAGAAUGUAGCAAAUAAUUAGCAAAACAGAUUGAAUGGACAGGAAAUUGACAGGAGCGGCAUGAAAAGAGCCCAAUCAGAAGAAUCAAUUGCAACGCUGGGAAUGUUUAUUAUUUUGUUAUGUAUUUAGUUUUAAGAGUCUAUUUAACACUCAAAUUGUUUCUAAUGCGCAGAUUUUAGGUACACGCAUAAUAAUGUACAAUUCAAAUACACCUAUAUUACCGGAUACUUUAAAAUAAAUAAAA
rnacentral:misc_RNA from 1 species